AUCAGGACUUCGGUUUAGCCGCCAACUCGAUCCAUCGACGGGCAAGCUAAAGUAGAAAUACUAUGAAAUAACUUGAGGUUGCUAAUUGCUAUUUGACCUAGCGUCACUGUCAAAACUAAAGAACAGAAAUUUAGUAAAGACAACAGCCUUGAAGGAGAACAUAUUUAGUAGUACUCUUUUGGGCUCAAACAAAUUCUUGAAGUUGAAAUACAGUUGAUCGCCUUGUGUAAUUUCACUCGCUUGUUGUCCAUACUCCAUACUCCAUACUCUGGGAGGGUUGACUUUGGAGAUGAUGCGGACGCAAGAAGGGGUUGUUGGCCUUGGAGUUCCAUCACCUGCUGGAUGUGCAUAUAUGGCUGGCUGCUUCAACCCUCAGGCCACAGGUUCUAGGAUCAAGCAAGCCCCUUGCGCAUUUCGAGCUUCGGUCUUCUGAGAACGAACUUGUUGCAGCAAUGCAGCAACCUCCUCGGCAAAAUCUACCCCUUGAGAUAACAUGAUGGCUUCCUGGGACUGACAGAACACAUGGUUUUCGAGGAAAGAUGUCAUGGGCAAGGUUUGAAACCUGAGGAAACAAAAGCAUACCCACUUAUGUAUUAAUUAGUAGUCAUAACUUCCUAAUAUCCUAUUCUCGUGCUUAAACCAAAAGGAUGAAGCCAUAUUGUUGGAACUCCUACAGGCUAUAACAAGAACUAUAGCAAUACCACAAUGAUAGCAGAGCGCACAACAUCUCUGCCACAACAUCUCUGCAUCAGAUCCUAAAAGAAUAACCCGUGGAAGAGAUCCAACCGUGAAUAUUGCAUCCCAUGUAAGAGGUCAAGUACAAACAGAGAUCCCCCAUUCAUCUAUGAAGAACUUCGAUCUUAAUUUCCCAUCAUGUCUUUAUCUCUAGAAUCAAGAUUGGCUUUUGGAGGUAUAUUAAAGCACAUUUCAAAGAUGUACCUUAUCAAUGCCAAAGCUUUGUUGGACGGAGAAGGUUUUGAUCCAGUGGUUAAAAUUAAGACCCUAGAAAGUAGAGAUCUUAGAGUUUAAUCCCUCUGCUUUCUUGCUUCUUAAAUCUCACAUUUUCCUGCUAGAAAAAAAAAUGUUAAAUUAAGGCAGCCUCAUGGACGGUGUA